UUUCACGUGAUUAGAAUUUUUCCAACAUCAAUUCACAUCUCUUUCAUGGAAAAGUAUAUAUUUCCUAAAUUUCUUUCGCAUGACCAAAAUAGUAGGUCUUAUCCUCCACAAGUAUUGACUUUGUGAGAGUACAUAUUGUCACUAUGGACAUGAUAUAGAAAAACAUCCACUUCGAGGAAUGAUAUUGUGUCUCUCCAUUGGAGACAUAUUAGCUAGAUAGCUUUGAACAACUUGUGUCUCGUGGCACUCAUACUUCGGCCUAUCAUUGAGAUGAUGGCGAGUAAAGAGCAAAGUCUUUGCUUUGUCUUGAUAGGAUGUUACACUAUCAUCCUUAAUGGUUUCGCUAAUG
rnacentral:lncRNA from 1 species